AGGAGUGAUAAACAUCUUCCUAUCUGAGUGUGUGAUGUAGUGAACGGUAUUCGAAAAGGAAGCCGCCUGAGCACUCAUUACUGGAGUUAUUGUAAGAAUAACACUAAUGAAUGCAUAUGGAAAGGCGUCCUCGGGGGCUAAAAGAAGGAACUCUGAUGUUGAAACAGCCUUAAAGGGCUUUCUUCCAGGAUAAAGUCACGACCCAUCCUACUCCACCCACAAACACCGUAGAGAGGAAGACUCGCUCUCUAGUGGAAGGCAAUGCAUAUAAAUGGAGCUUCUCCUUUAAAGAGGCGCUCAGUUGGACAACAAAGCAGGCCUUUAAAGCACAGAGCUGCUUUCUUCACAUGCCUGUGUGCAAAGGUGGAAAUCUGGGCAGAGUGGAAGAUGAAGUAAUGGGAGAGGAAUGGAUAGAUGAAG